GUGAACGCCGGCGGUAGGCCUAACACAUGCCAGUCGAACGGCAGCACAGUAAGAGCUUGCUCUUACGGGUGGCGAGUGGCGGACGGGUGAGGAAUACAUCGGAAUCUACUUUUUCGUGGGGGAUAACGUAGGGAAACUUACGCUAAUACCGCAUACGACCUACGGGUGAAAGCAGGGGAUCUUCGGACCUUGCGCGAUUGAAUGAGCCGAUGUCGGAUUAGCUAGUUGGCGGGGUAAAGGCCCACCAAGGCGACGAUCCGUAGCUGGUCUGAGAGGAUGAUCAGCCACACUGGAACUGAGACACGGUCCAGACUCCUACGGGAGGCAGCAGUGGGGAAUAUUGGACAAUGGGCGCAAGCCUGAUCCAGCCAUACCGCGUGGGUGAAGAAGGCCUUCGGGUUGUAAAGCCCUUUUGUUGGGAAAGAAAAGCAGCAGGUUAAUACCCCGCUGUUCUGACGGUACCCAAAGAAUAAGCACCGGCUAACUUCGUG
rnacentral:rRNA from 1 species